AGCAUCUAAGCGGGAAGCCUACCUCAAGAUAAGAUUUCCCUAGGACUUUAUGUCCUCUAAAGAGCCGUUCGAGACUAGGACGUUGAUAGGUUGGAUGUGGAAGCAUAGUGAUAUGUGAAGCUGACCAAUACUAAUUGCUCGUGAGGCUUGACUAUACAACACCCAAGCAGUUG
rnacentral:rRNA from 2 species